AUGGACAUCGCCAAAUUGUUUGACGAAUUCCAGUCGGAGACGGAUGCAGAGUCAGAGUCAGUGAUGGGUUCAGAUACCAAUGAGGGGAUGUCCAUUGUCAAAUCAGACAAGUUGAUAUUAGAUUCUGCAGAUCUCAUUCCCACCAGAUUAGAACAGUACUCGGUCCAGGAUCCUGAUCAUGAUGAGAUGGACAGAGGCAAACCAGGCACACUGUUAUCCAUGGAGGCCAAAGCCGCCGAGGCGGCGGCUCACGAAGCAUAUAGAUUUGCUUCAGAGAUCCGUUGCUGGGAAUCUGCAUGGAGCAAAACCUGCAAUUUCUUCACAGACACCACGGCGCUGAGUUCCAUGCAGUUUACACAUUACACACCUGGAAACAUGUCAUACCACCGUGUCGGCUCCACCCCGGAAACCUUGCAGAUCUUUUCCGUCAAACUCGCAAAGAUAGGUGGUGGUCUUGCGUGGCCAUUGUCUGUGUAUGGUGUGGUUGCCGCCCGUGACAUCGUGGAUCACAACCGCAACAUUCUCUUCUCUUGUAGUAGGAGCCAGGCCCAAGAACUGAGACAGGAUGAUCCCUUUUUGCACUUGAUUGGACCGUCUCGUGCAAUUGUAUUUAUGGACAUGGUUGACUUUGAAAUCCAACUAAAAGUAAAAGGUACAACAAAGUCUGAAGAUAAAGCAUUGAUCAGUUAUGUGUGCAAUUAUAAUGGAGGAUGUAGUCCUGGUGUAUCUACCUUAUGCAUUGAGAAAUUCUUCUGCACACUGGAGUUAUGCUUGCAGCGAAUUAGACGAACGGUCCAGGCUACUAUCUUGGGUGUUCAGGUAGUCAAAUAUGGCUCAUGGCCUUUUGAAUAUGGCGGCCGAGUUACUUGCUCCCCACCAUCAGAAGGGGAAAUGGUGUGCACUGAUAGUGGAGUCACUCCUAUUAUUAAUUUAGCAUCUAGCCAAAUUGUCCUGCUUGAGUCAAAAGGUAAAGCACUGCCGAAAGGUUUUCAUGGUUACAUAGUUCUGUCGAGGCAAGUUGUUUCUGUAGAAGCUGAAGGAGUGUUGGACCUUGCCCUGGAAGCCUACUCCAGAUCUGGUGAUACCACUACUGCACAAGGUCAUGUCCGUUUCUUGCCCAAAUUUUGCGGUAUAAGCCAGGAUAAAUGUUUUCUUGAUGAUGUCGAGGUAGUGAUUACUGUUGCUUGGUCCCUUGUUGCUACGAGCAAGCGGGAGGUGGUGUUAGAACGAGGUUUGUCUGAAUAUUGA
rnacentral:rRNA from 1 species